GAUGAACGCUAGCGGCAGGCUUAAUACAUGCAAGUCGAGGGGCAGCAUGAUUGUAGCAAUACAAUUGAUGGCGACCGGCAAACGGGUGCGGAACACGUACACAACCUUCCAACAAGUGGGGGAUAGCCCAGAGAAAUUUGGAUUAAUACCCCGUAACAUAGCGAUGUGGCAUCACAUUGCUAUUAUAGAUUUUUCGCUUGUUGAUGGGUGUGCGGCUGAUUAGAUAGUUGGCGGGGUAACGGCCCACCAAGUCUACGAUCAGUAGCUGAUGUGAGAGCAUGAUCAGCCACACGGGCACUGGGACACGGGCCCGACUCCUACGGGAGGCAGCAGUAAGGAAUAUUGGACAAUGGACGCAAGUCUGAUCCAGCCAUGCCGCGUGAAGGAUUAAGGUCCUCUGGAUUGUAAACUUCUUUUAUAAGGGACGAAAAAAGGCUUUUCUAAGUCGUCUGACGGUACCUUAUGAAUAGGCACCGGCUAACUCCGCGCCAGCCGCCGCAGUAACAC
rnacentral:rRNA from 1 species